ACCUUGGCUCUAGACUGCUUACUGCUGAGCACGGCGACCGGAACAGUAACAGUCUACAGUCAUGGCUA
rnacentral:pre_miRNA from 1 species